rnacentral:rRNA from 1 species
UACGUAGGGUGCAAGCGUUGUCCGGAAUUAUUGGGCGUAAAGAGCUCGUAGGCGGUCUGUCGCGUCGGAUGUGAAAAUCCAGGGCUCAACCCUGGACCUGCAUUCGAUACGGGCAGACUAGAGGUAUGCAGGGGAGAACGGAAUUCCUGGUGUAGCGGUGGAAUGCGCAGAUAUCAGGAGGAACACCGGUGGCGAAGGCGGUUCUCUGGGCAUUACCUGACGCUGAGGAGCGAAAGUGUGGGGAGCGAACAGG